AUACGGAGGAUCCGAGCGUUAUCCGGAUUUAUUGGGUUUAAAGGGUGCGCAGGCGGCCAUUUAAGUCAGCGGUUAAAUCGUGGGGCUCAACCCCAUUCUGCAGUUGAUACUGGUUUCCUUGAGUACGGUACAGGUGGGCGGAAUUCGUGGUGUAGCGGUGAAAUGCAUAGAUAUGACGAAGAACACCGAUUGCGUAGGCAGCUGACCAGACCGCAAAUGACGCUCAUGCACGAAAGUGCGGGGAUCGAACAGGAUUAGAUACCCUGGUAGUCCGCACAGUAAACGAUGAAUACUUGUUUUCGGCGAUAUAAUGUCGGAGGCAAAGCGAAAGCGAUAAGUAUUCCACCUGGGGAGUACGCCGGCAACGGUGAAACUCAAAGGAAUUGACGGGG
rnacentral:rRNA from 1 species